rnacentral:lncRNA from 1 species
GUUAGCAGUGAGCGUAAGGCAAUAGAAAAGGAACAUUUUGGAAAUCAAUACCACCAGUUUCACCUUCAUCUGUGGUCUGUUGCUCCGUUUUGCUCUCUGAGUCUGGAGUUACAGAUCCUCCCCAUGACCAUCUCUUCUGUCGUGUUUCCAGUCGCUGACUCCGUUCCAAGGUACGAUGCAGAGCUGCUUCGUGUCUCUCCUUUUCCUCUUCGAUUUUUUGUUUUCUCUUUUCUUCCACAGCUGCCCUCCGUUGUUCGUCUUUCUGCUUUUGUUCUUUCAGCUUUCUCUGCCUUUCUUCUAACUGUUUCUCAUACUGGAGUUUUGCUUUUCUCUCCUUUUCAAGGAUUUGUGACUCUUUGGCAGCAUUUUGCUUUUCCCGCUCCUCUCUGCGCUCCCUGGCCAGUCUUUGCCUUUCUUCUGUUCUUAGAGUGGAACCAUCUAUCACUGGUUUAGUUGCUGUCUUUAUGUUUAUUGAGGUCUGGACUGCAAUGGGGCUGACACCACUUUGGCUUCUUCUUUCAUCUGCUAUGGCUUGGGCUGCAGCAACCAUCUGCUCCCGCAGCCCCUUCAAGGAGGAGGAGGAAGAAGAGGAAGAGCAGGAGGGGGGGGCGCGCCUCCGCCGCCCUCCGCCAUCUUCAGCGCCGCCGGGACGCGCAACUCCGCCGGCCGGGCUGAAGGGGGACGCGGGAGCGCAGUGCGCACGCUCCGCACCGCCCGGCAGCGCCGCCGCGGGGGUGGGCAGGGCCGGCCGGCCGGGCGGGGAGGGCCGCGGCGGCUGCACGGCGCCGUCCACUCGCCGUCCGCGCUCACCGGGGCACGGUGGCGGCGGGCGGGGCUUUCCCCGCGGCCCGGAGCGAUGGGGGAGCGGCGGGCGCUCUCACCGCGUGGAAAUGGACGGCGGAGCCCAACGUCGCGGGUAGAAAUGGCCGCCCCCCUCCGCCGGGAGAUGGCCGGGAGGGGGGGGGGGCGGACCGUGCUCCGCAACGACUGCAAGCGUGGUCCCGCUAUUAACCGUGAUGAAUUGCCCUCAAAGAGCGAGUUGUGAAAGAGAGAAGUCCAGGCAGGUGUCCGCGAUAAGGAGACAUUAAAAUGCUUCGUCUGUAAACUCGCUUGUCCCACGGAUGGGAACCAGUGGGUUUUCAGGCUGUGCCCACCGAGAAUGGGCUGAGCGCAUUCGUUCGCCUGGCUGUAAGUGCACAGGGGUGGCUCGGAGCUGUACAGACUCACACAACUGGAUGAUCUCGCAGGGGCUGUCGUGGCCGAAUGCCACAGACUCGACUGUCCCGUGCUGCAGAGAAGCGUGCGUUGGGAUCCGGCAGUCCUGUGGAAAUUCAGGUUCACUGAGCUCAAAAGAAACGCGGAGCCACAAAUGUAUGAGCCGGGUUACACCCACGGCUGCCGGCGGGGCUGGGGAUGCAGUGCUGUAUUCCACACAUACCCAUCAGAACGAGGGCCCGAGCUGCUGAGGGAAGAGCUCAGAAGCUGUUGAAUCCCAUUUAUUAUCAAUUUUAUGAUGAUUUUUCUCUCGCUAUUUUGCUGCCUUGUUUGGUUAUUGAUGAAUUCCAGAACGGUUUCUUCUUGUUUUGCCUCUGUGUUUUAUGCUUUGGGAUGGGUGAGGGUAAAAUGAGCAUCAGUGGCUCUAUAAAGAGUUCCUUGAGCCUCGUGCUCCCUUUGAAAUCCCAAAUGGAAGGUUGUCCUGCCACGGGGCUGUGGAAUUACCCCACAGAUGGGGAGGAUGGGGAAAAAGCAGCAGUAAGGCCAUCGUGUACGUGGCAUUGCAAGAGAGUAAAGAGAGACCUUACAGAAAUAUACAGCAGGGCUCUGUGGGAACGUGAAGGUUCAGACUGCAGCCUGGCCCUGUGCUUCACUGCAUUGGCUUCCCCCACUUCAGCGUGUGUGCACACAGAGUCCUGUGUCUGUUGUUUCCUCCCAGUGCUUUAGGAUGCCAGUGACUCUUGUUUGUGAAACAAAAGGGCAGCUCAAGAGGGAAAAAAAAAACCUGACACUGUGUUAAUUUUCGCAGGUUUGUGUUUACAGCGUAUAGUAAUAAUACCUUGCAUUUGUGUAGCACUUGGCGUUUGGCAAUCAGAAUGAGCACUGUGCCCGUGCUGAAGUGAAUUUCGCCAUUGCUCAGAGACGUGUGGAUGUGUUAUCCUCCUUUUACAGGUAAGAAAACUGAGUCACAGAAACAAAAGCCUCCGGUUCUGUUAUGGACAAAGCAGCGCAGUGAAUAAAAGUUGGUUCUUUAUCCUCUUCUUCUCUAUUCCGUUCAUCAACAGCUAUUUUAAAACACCACCAGGAGGGCUUAGAUUGCUGCUGUACAGCACAAACUACAACAGACGCGGUAUAAAGGGUGGGCAGACUACCUGCUGCAAUGGUUUAUAUGUUUUGCAGUGUAUUUGUGGUGGGACAGCAGAAGCUGUGAAUUUAAAAGGCCAAGCACAUUCACAUUCAUGAGUGAUAAAAGAGCUCUGGAGCUGGAAGUGAGGCACGAUUCCUUCCUCAUCUCCAUUCAUCUACAUGCUGAUGAUCUGCACGUCUUUCAUCUUCAGACAUGCAGGACCCGAUCUGAGAAGAUCUGCCCCAAUGUGGAAAAUGUAUUGUAAUGUCUUUUUCUCUGAUGAGCGGCUUAUAAACGUUUGAGCUAAGAUUUCAGCAAUCAGAGCUAUACCUUCCGCCUUCGUUUCCUGUUUAACCUUGUUUCUCAGGUCUUCACUUCAAUCAUGCAAUUACCGCUUAUGCAUUUUUAGGAGAGCUUCAUUAAAACUGUGCCCUUGCAUUGGUUUCAGCAGCACCGGCAUUCAGUUGUGCAGCACUUGCAGGUUAGAUUGCGGUAGAUGGUUUAUUCUCAUCCUUUAAAGACUGCCUUUUUUCCCACUGUCCCUGUGGAAAAGCGAGCAAUUUAAUACAAUGAUUCCUUCCAAAACGUUUUAGGUCACAUCGUUGGUUGGUGCAUAUUGGCAUUAUGAGAUGAAAAUCGAUGGAGCUGUGGCACUCUAUGCAGUUCGGGAUUCCAGGGCUUUAAUUCCCUCCGUUUCAAGAGAUGCGAUACUGAAAUCAGUCCAAGUAAUGGUUGAAAUGAUUGGAGUGGAAGCUUGCACAGAUGAUGUGCCAGGUGCUAAGAAAUGCCAGCUCAGAAAACACUCAGGGCACUGUUAGACCUGGGGAAGGUGUUAGGAGGAGCAGCCGCCCAUUACCAACUUCUUACCCUUUUUCCCAAACAAUGUGGUGUUGCUGUUAGGUGCUGUGCUUGACUGGACCUCACUUUGGGAGACGGUAAUAACAGGUUUUGUAUUCUGGCUCAAAGCAGCCCCCGCGUUUGCUGUAAGCCUACGGAUGCUAACUGCUUUGAUCACUGGGGUUUCUAAUAGCAAAACGUUAUUCAGCUUCGUUUGUGUAGGAGUCUCACUGCAUAAGGGCUGAGGCAGCAAGGAAAUCAGAUACUUCUCUAUGUCUGUGCACGGGAUUUAAAAACAUGGGGAAAAGUAUUUCAAAGUGUCCUAAAUCCCAAAGUGUAAGGCAUGUAUUGUUACAGAUGAUAGUAGGUUUCCUGCGGUGAAUGCAACUGCUGUGGCUGAUAGAAAGAAAAUUGGUGGCAUGAAAACUGCUGUAGCCAUUGGACGUUCUCUCCAAAUGGGCUUUAAGUGCAUGUUCUUGUUUAUUGCUCUCCUGCUGGGAUGAGGUCCUGCAACCAUCUCUGUUACCAAUUCGUCUGCCCUGUAAGGACCUCAUUUUUCAGUCUGGGCUCAAAUUGACUUCAAAUUGACUUGUGUUUCUGUGUGUAAAUUAUUCCUGGGGUGUAAAGUUAGCAGACAAUAUUCCUUAAUAUAAGAGGUAAUCAAGAAUCAAGCCCUCAGUUUGCUCUUGGCCUGGUGUGUUUAUUAAUUACCUGAAUGAUAGAAUGGGAAGCGUUCCUAUUACAUUUGUAGGCACUGCUGAUAUGCUGGAGGGCAAGCUGAGAAUUCAGAAUGAGCUCGGCAAGUUCUUAAUGUAAUACCUGAAAAAAGAAAUGAAAAUAGGGACCGAUGCAAAGGGAAACAUUUGGACAGCAAUAAUCAGCAGCAGGACGAGACAGAGGACAGCUUGCUCAGUAGCAAAUAGAACAGAAAAAACAAUCUGGGGUGUCACAAGGUAAGCAUUGAGUCAACAGUGUCGCAGUGUUGUGAAAAGGGAAGCACCCUCCCUGAAAGCAUGGUCAGAAGCACGGCCUGGACACACAGCAGCACUUGCACUCAGCUCAGCAAAAGCUGAAUGAGUUCAAGGGGAGGUAAUGUGAUGGCGUAUCUUUGCCUUGGGUAACCAGCAGAAAUGGUCUGAUGCUUCAGUUCUGUAUCUUAGAUCAUUCUUUGCUAUAUAACAGUUUUGUAAGGACAGGAGCCCAAUGCAUACAAACAGGAAUAAAGUGAGAAUGAGCAAGCGCGAGGCAUCUGAUAUGUGCAUUAUAACACAUGUGGAAUCAGGAUCACUCCUUUCCUGUUUGUAAUGCUGUGCAUGCCCACCGGGUCUCAUUUAACAGGGUAACACCCAGCUGUUGCCUUAGCAUACGUAUUCUCCAUGACAUCCACAUUUAUUUAUUGCCGGAGUCAAAAUAGGGAUAUGAAAGCUCAUUCUCCCCAUCUCUUUUUGGCAUUCGUACGUGGAUUUGUUUGUUCUCUGGCUUUCCUUCAAGCAGAGCUCUCGAGGUUGCUACUGAGUGCAUGUUUGGUGGGCUGGGUGCACUGAAGAUAGUAAACAAAAUAGUCGAGAUGGUAAAUAACAAAAGUCAAACUCUUGGGCUAAACUUGCUAAAGCGACUGCAUAAACGGCACGUGCAAAAGCUGCAUCUGUUGAUCUAAACUGAGAUGCAUUCAUGUGCUCACUGCAUGUGGAUGCACCUAACGCUGCCAUCACCAGCUGUGUGUUACCCUGCCCAGGAGCCUGCAGUAAUAGCAGCUGAGCUGCAGUGAGCUGCUGCUGCCUCACAGGGCCAAACUCUUGGCCAGAAUUUGUUGUAGGAUCUGUAGAGUUGCCAAGCCAUUCGAAUAGAAGUCUUCUUCUAUUUGCUUCUGUUGUGUCCUGCUCUCACUUGAAGUCAUCCAUCCCCCCCAAAGGUAAAUCCACAAAAUCACUUUGCUUAAGGUACAAAUCCCAUCACUCUGAGCUGUUGUACAAAUGCUGCACUGGUUUCCUUUGCCUUACAGCCCAAUCUGGCAAUUAUUACUGAAUCAUUGCUAAAUUAUCCAGAAUUUUGAUGUGAUUACUGUCAAUUGCACUAAGUAAUACAAGUCCAACCAGCUGAACACUGAUAUGGUAAUUGUUAUCGCUUCUAAUACCAAACAAUUUAAUCUUAUCAUCGUGUGCUGAUGAGAUAAUAUAUUCCAGCAGUGACUUUUUUUAUGAGCACUGUAUUAUUCCAAGGGGUGCUGGGAUAAAACACCACUGUGGAGAGUUACAGUGCCGUGCUGACAGUGCUGUGCAUCUGACUGAGAGGUCGAUUCUGAAGACUCUUCUAUGACUCCUCAAGUCUACGCAAUGACCUGAAGAUCACCCUGAUGGUUCCCCACCUCUAAGUGAGUAAUUAGGGGAAUCUGAGAUGGCAAAGUAAUUUUCCAGUUAUCAAAGUAUGAAAGUAUCUCUCCGUAAGCCAGUGCUGCCCAGAUGUUUUUCUGUUGUUGCUAAGGUGGGUUCUUGUGAAAGAUCAGCUUUCAAACUGAUGAAAAAAGGAGAACAGAAUUCAACUUCUUGGGGUUUGGGGGGGAUUCACCUCCUUGAAAAGGCCUCCUUUGUCCCACUGCCAUCUAGCUGCAGUUCUAAGCAGGUUGUAAGGGGACCCCUUCACAACUCACUAGUAAUUUAUAGUUUAGGACGUCUGUAUGCAAUUUGCUUUCCUCUCUCUCAGAGGCUAAAGGCUGUGUGCCUGGCACAGAUACUGGCUGCAUUUGCAGUGUCAAGAAGCUGCAGUUCCAUCUAUUUUAUGGGACUUGCAAUCUGUUAACUCUGCUGCCGAAUCUGCCUCUCCCCAUUCAAUUAAUCCAAACGUACCAACUUCAAUGUGGGGUAAAAGCUAUGGGUCCUAUUCAACUGCAUCAAGAAAGAUUUUAGUUCUUUGUUUACUUUCCUCAGCUUCCGAAGACCGAUCUCAUUCUGAAAUAACACUUGGGCAAACAGAGGGUAGUUCCUUUUUGUAAGGAAAAUAUUUAGAAAAGAGGCUGCAGCAGCGUAGCUG